UGAAUUUCCAAGAAUAACCAGCCGUGGUUGUAGAAAUUGUGCAAGCGCUUCAGAGCUUGUUGAAGAAGUGCCUUUUUCUCCAUCUUUGACAUUCCUGUAAUUUCCAACUUUGCUUCAGGUGAAAAUUCUAAAUGCCCGUGCAUCCAUAAGAGAUAAAAUUUUUACCUGGAAAGUGAUGACGAAGACGAGGAAUAACGACAUGUAGAUGAUUCUAAACACAGUCAUGCGUUCACCGGUUAUACCACUGGUGAAUAACAUGAUAGCGACAACAGCAAUCCAAAAUUUCAAGUUUAAAAUCGAUCAUCGCAGUGCUUACCUUCACUCAUCGACUGCAUUUGAAUACUGUCAUCGUGAUGCCCGUCUUGAACAAUGACGCUACCCGUUGAAUCUUGAAGAAGUCCAGCCCGUCCAGAACCAAACCGCAUCAGCUUUGGGGCACCAAAUUAACGGAAAGGAGAUAGAUUCGAGAUUAGAACAUGAGUAUUAUAUAGUUGACAAGCUAGGCACAUUAAGAAGACAGCAAUUCUAGCGACAGCUUGAUACGUACGGGUGUAUUCUCGUCAGGCUGUGAUGUCAAGGCUUGGUUGAACUCCUAAAACACGGCAAACUAAACGUAGCAACAUCCAAAAUCAUAUUAAACGUA
rnacentral:lncRNA from 1 species